GGGUCUGUAGCUCAGUUGGUUAGAGCGCACCCCUGAUAAGGGUGAGGUCGGAUGUUCAAAUCCUCCCAGACCCACCA
rnacentral:tRNA from 1 species